AAAAUUCUAUGCGGACAUGGUAUUGGACACGAGUGUUUUAAAAAUAUAAAUAGGUGAAAUUGAAAUUCUCUCAUGUUCAAUUUUCAUGUCCGCAUGGCAUAGAAGAGUUCUUAACUAAAGUUCCUAAAUAUUAUCCCUUCUUUAUUAAUAGAUCCAUAUCCCCAUUCUCCAUUAAAUAGUACAAUUUUAGUUGAAUUUAUUUCAAAAUAAAGGCUAAAUGCAGACUUCAAAAAUACACAUAAUCCUGGCGAUUUAAAUUUAACUUAAUAGUCCAAAACAUAAAAAAGGGACAACUAAUUCGGGACAUUACUUGUCAAGAAAACUAGGCAAGAGUCUCUGAUUACCUUCAAUUGGAGGAGCAGCAUAUGCUAAUUGCUUAAAGUUGUUGUAAAUGGCACUAAUAAUUUGAAGUGUGACUGCUUUUUUGAGACGUGAAUAAGUUGAACUCAUCGGAAAUCUUGUAUAUAGGACGCUGGUGGUCAUCGGCAG
rnacentral:lncRNA from 1 species